AUGUGCGAGAUUUGUUUUUACGUAGCUCGGUGCUCCUCAGACGCUUUGAUCAGAACUGAAUGACUGUCUGCUGCAUUCCAAACACGUAAAAGAGACCCUGAAAUUAAGUAGACAACGGGAUAAUGACCUAUGAGUUGACACUUACAGGGCAAAGGAAGAAAUAAUUCAUUUUAAAUGGACCGCCCUUGCCCAGAAAUGUCACUCAUUCGUCCCAUGGUUGUUUUCAGUUAUCAUGGAACCACCGGUAGCUGUGUGCUUUAUAUGCGCUACAGUCAAUUAUGAUUUCAUAUCUUGGCUAGAAGACGACUCAUCCGCAGACAUCGAAUGCUAUCCAUCUGACGAUAUCAGGCCCCGGAGUGAACAGAGUUGUACACGCAAACUCAGCAGGAGGGCUGAGGGUCUUACGUUGCCAACUUCCCUUGCUUGGCUUCCCCCAAGGGCAUAAGGCGAGGGAGGGGAGUCAAGCUACAUGCAACCAUUUCAGCUACUGGUUGUACCCAAAAUACAUGGAGAAAAAAAAUCUGACCAAUGGGAAACGGAUCAAUCCACUCCACCCGGAACCAUCAAGCGUAGAGGUCCUUGUACAUUUUGGCCAAUUGUUUUCUGAAUAAAAAUUGAAAUUGCUUAUUUU